GACAAGACAAAGGCUGUCUUUAUUAUUUAAAUAAAAUUUAACUUUUAAGUGAAAAGGCUUAAAUGUAACAAAAAGACGAUAAGACCCUAUAAGCUUUAUGUUAAAGUGUUAUAAUUUUAAAAAGUUUAUUAAAAAUUUUAUGGAAUAUAAAAUAUUUAGCUGGGGCGGCGUGUUUAAAAUUUUUAUUAACUUCUCUUUAAUAAAACAUUUUUAAAUGAAAUUAAUAGAUCCUUUAUAUAAAGAUUAAAAGAAAAAUUACUUUAGGGAUAACAGCGUUAUUCUUUUUGAGAGUUCAUAUCGAAAAAAGAGAUUGCGACCUCGAUGUUGAAUUAAAAAUUCUAUAUAGUGUAGCACCUUUAUAAGAAGGUCUGUUCGACC
rnacentral:rRNA from 1 species